rnacentral:rRNA from 1 species
UACGGAGGGUGCAAGCGUUAUCCGGAUUCACUGGGUUUAAAGGGUGCGUAGGUGGGCAAGUAAGUCAGUGGUGAAAUCUCCGGGCUUAACCCGGAAACUGCCAUUGAUACUAUUUGUCUUGAAUACUGUGGAGGUCAGCGGAAUAUGUCAUGUAGCGGUGAAAUGCUUAGAUAUGACAUAGAACACCAAUUGCGAAGGCAGCUGGCUACACAAUGAUUGACGCUGAGGCACGAAAGCGUGGGGAUCAAACAGG